GUGCAGCAGGCGAGAAAACUUUACAAUGUGCGAAAGCACGAUAAGGGAACUCUGAGUGCCUCCUAAGGAGGCUGUUCAGGUGUCUAAAAAGCACCUGGAGUAAGGGCUGGGUAAGACCGGUGCCAGCCGCCGCGGUAACACCGGCAGCCCAGGUGGUAGCCACUUUUAUUGGGUCUAAAGCGUCCGUAGCCGGUUGAGUAAGUUCCUUGGGAAAUUUGGCUGCUCAACAGUCAAGCUUCCAGGGAAUACUGCUCGACUUGGGGACUGGGAGAGGUCAGAGGUACUCCAGGGGUAGGGUGAAAUCCAUUAAUCCCUGGGGGACCACCGGUAGCGGAGGCGUCUGACCAGACCAGGUCCGACGGUGAGGGACGAAGGCUAGGGGCGCGAACCGGAUUAGAUACCCCCGUAGU
rnacentral:rRNA from 1 species